rnacentral:rRNA from 1 species
AGUGAGGCUUUCGGACUGUCUCGUCGGAAUCGGCAACGAUUUUGACAUGAUGGAAAGUUAGUCAAACUUGGUCAUUUAGAGGAAGUAAAAGUCGUAACAAGGUU